ACCUAGCAGUGAUCAUAGCUCAGCUGAUAGAUUGUGAGGCUCUUGAUCUCAGAUUCGUGGGUUUGAGCCCCACUUUGGGCA